ensembl:lncRNA
GGAAACAUGCAGUUCAGAAAUGGAUCAGUCAUCAAUAUCAUGCAAUCUGAGUUUUCAAAGGGGAAUAACACUCCUACUAGCGCUGAAGUAGAGGAGGUUUUAGUGACUGCUUCUCAAAAUGUCACUGGCUUUGACAUUGAAACGAGCUCCAUCAUUGUCAAUUCCAUCCUUACUGUGGAAUGUAAGAUAUAUAUAUAUAUAUGUAUAUUCUUUUUUUUUUUUUUUACUAUUUUUUUAAUAUGAUCAACUUGAGGCUAAAAUGAUAAACUAACCUUAACUGUUUUCUUUUUUCUUAAUAUACAGCAACGAUACCUUCAACAACGACACUAUUAAGUACCUCUGCUGCUACCAUGACAUCAAUUAUUCCUACAACAACGUCACAAGAAAUUUUCUCAACAAAUCCACUUGAAACAUCAAGUCCAACAUCAUCAAUUACUUCUGAAGAAUCCAUAACAACUACAUCAAAUCCUUCACUGAGCACAACUCUAGCAACAUUUACAACAUCUGGUCAAGCUCCAAGUAAAGCAGAAACUACAACAGGAGCACAAGAAACUUUGACAUCUCUUUUGACAGCAACCACAUCAAAAACCACACCAAUUACUUUAACUAACCCAACAGCGGAAACUACAACAUUUGAAAGAACAACACCAUUUAGUUCAACAUUUGUUGGACAGACCACAACAGCUCCAUUGACUGCAACAACUCCUCAAACAACAGCCAGAGUUUCUGAACCAACAGAUACAACAUCGUUCACUCUUGAUUUAACAGCUGAGACAACAUCUGUGAUAACAACUGAUGCUUUAACCACUACUGCUUUUUUGACAUUACCUCCUCAAACAACAACAGGAAGACCUUCAACAAUUGCUUCAACAACUGCACUACUAAGUACACCUGCUGCUACCAUGACGUCAACAAAAAAUCCUACAACGCCACAAGAAACUUUAUCAACAAAUCCAGUUGAAACAUUAGGUCCAACAACAUCUUUGUUAUCAACAUCAUCAAUUACUUCUGAAGAAUCCAUAACAACUACAACAAAUCCUUCACUGAGCACAACUCUAGCAACAUUUACAACAUCUGGUCCAGCUGCAACUACAGCAGAAACUACAACAGGAGCAGAAGAAACUUUGACAACUCUUUUGACAGCAACCACAUCAAAAACCACACCAAUUACUUUAACUAACCCAACAGCGGAAACUACAACAUUUGAAAAAACAACACCAUUUAGUUCAACAUUUGUUGGGGAGACCACAACAGCUCCAUUGACUGCAACAACUCCUCAAACAACAGCCAGAGUUUCUGAAACAACAGAAACAACAUCGUUCACUCUUGAUCUAACAGCUGAGACAACAUCUGUGAUAACAACUGAUGCUUUAACCACUACUGCUUCUUUGACAUCACCUCCUCAAACAACAACAGGAAGACCUUCAACAAUUGCUUCAACAACUGCACUCCUAAGUACACCUGCUGCUACCAUGACGUCAACAAAAAAUCCUACAACAACGACACAAGAAACUUUAUCAACAAAUCCAGUUGAAACAUUAGGUCCAACAACAUCUGUGUUAUCAACAUCAUCAAUUACUUUUGAAGAAUCCAUAACAACUACAACAAAUCCUUCACUGAGCACAACUCUAGCAACAUUUACAACAUCUGGUCCAGCUGCAACUACAGCAGAAACGACAACAGGAGCAACUGUCAUCAUCUACUACAUAACAUUUACAUCCCUUCAAAGCACUUUUACAAACGACCUUUUGGAUCCAUCAUCUGCUGCGUAUCAAGCUAGAGUUCAAAUGAUCACCUCAGAGUUGGAAAAUUACUUCCGACAGUUAUUUGCUGCUACCUUCAUUGCAAUAGGAAACAUGCAGUUCAGAAAUGGAUCAGUCAUCAAUAUCAUGCAAUCUGAGUUUUCAAAGGGGAAUAACACUCCUACUAGCGCUGAAGUAGAGGAGGUUUUAGUGACUGCUUCUCAAAAUGUCACUGGCUUUGACAUUGAAACGAGCUCCAUCAUUGUCAAUUCCAUCCUUACUGUGGAAUGUACGAUAUAUAUAU